rnacentral:lncRNA from 1 species
AUAUGGUUGCACUACCCAUAAAAUACCUUCUAAUAUGCCACAUUACAAAUUUUAACUAGUAAGACUGUUGUACCAUGGAGUGAGGCCAAGACUCCCUCUUGGUUUAAUAUCUAGCAAGGUUUUUUCCUCAAACAAGCACAAUAAUGGUUUUGCAAGUCAGUCUUUGUAUUUCUGGGUCAGCUGCUUGCUGUAUGGCAUUUGUGAAGAGGACUUUGUAUCUGUGCAGCCUAGACAGAAAAAGAUAAUGAUCCUCUCUUCUCUAUCUCUCUGAGGCAUUUUAAGUUAUUUAUAUCAAAAAUUUCCUAGCAGCAGACAGACACAGCAGAACUGGAGCACAGCACACUUUGUGAUUGUGUAGGUUUUAGCUAUGUUCAAAUCACCUGCAACAUAACUAAAGGAUAAAGAUUUAAGGAAGUUCUCUGGGCUGGGCACAUGUAAAACUGUGACCAAGUAGACCAAGACUGUGUUAAUAUCUUAGUCUCUCCAUCUCCUCUUUUUCAAUCUUCUAGGCCCUUUGACUGUAUCCCUGUACAUAGUACUUGUUUGUCAUCCCUCACUUGUUGUGAAAUUUUGUACAAAGAUUACCCAGGUAUGAUGUAUCAGUCUCUUCCCAGGCACCUGAUACAGCCUCAUCCUCUCCUGAUAAAUGGCAACCUUUGCUCAAUAUGUCUACUGUCCUUAAUUUGGGAAUAGAUGAACACUUCAAUAUUUAAGAUGGAAAUGUCUGUAAAUGUGUUCUGUCUUCAAGGCACAUGGUUCUAAUUUUGAUAGUAGAUUUCUUCUGAUGAGUGCUAAUGUUCCUUAAUGUUCCUCAUUAACCUGUAAUUCAAGGGCAAUUUCUUAGCAUUGAUUACUACUUUCUUAAGGGCUAGGGGUGUGGCUCAGUGGUAAAACAUUUGCCUCACAUGUGUGAGGCACUGGAUUUAAUUCUCAGCACCGCAUAUAAAUAAAUGAAUGAAAUAAAGUUCCAUCAACAACUAAAAAUAUAUAUUUAAAAAAAUACCUUCUUAAACUCUUUCUUCUCCAUUACUCUGUAAGAACGCAGGUCUUCUUCCUAUCAGUGAGUGUCCUCUGUGCCUCCCUACAUUCCUUGGUCUCUCUCAUUUCACUGUCUCAAUCUGCUUUUUCCUCUCCUUCACCUUUAGGUACCCUACACCCUAUAAUCCUGCCUGAAAACCUUUAGUAGGAAGCCAUAUCCCCACCUUUAGAAGGGGUCUAGAAUUAACUUUAUUGUCUUAAUGUGGGUAGCUGCUGUUAACCCAUAUGUUUAGCCUCCACUCAGGUUUAUAUUAUAGAGAAGUGCAGUUUGUGGACUGUCUGGUAUCAGUCUGUAAAAUAUUUGUAGCUGGAUCUUGAGGAGAGAAGUAUAGACAUUGAAAGUCAAUAUGCCUCUAUCUGGCAUUUCUUCAGGCUCUGGAAUUUAUUGCCACAAGACCAAAUCUCUUCUACUUGCUCUUCAUAUUGAAGAACUUAAUGCAAUGAUGUAUAUGUGUUUAAAAAUGAAACAAAUGUUAACUAUCUAGAAUGGAGAAUUCAAAAUGACAUGAUCAAUGGUACUGAUAGAUUAUAUUAUUUAUUCCUAGUUAUUUGAUUCCUCCCCUUCAUUGUGAUGCAUUGUUGAAGGCAUGAUAAAUUCCUUACCCCUCUAACCUAGAAUUUGGCCAUAUGACUCACUUUUGUCUAUGGAUAUGACUGUCAUAAAAUCCAAGCUGAAACUUUAAAUGUGCUUCUGUGACUUGUCUUUACCUCCC